rnacentral:rRNA from 1 species
AUGGCUGUGGAGAGAGACAUCUUUGGUAUCUCAGGGCCGACAUAUCUUAAUCCUGUUAAUUGGAACUGCGAGAAUAAUAGGAGAUCUGUGGCUGCAUGUUUAGUUCAGGCCGUGUAUGUUUUGGAGAGAGACCGGCAACUAAACCGUAAAUCUGUUGACGCCGCAGCACCUCCUUGGUGGGAGUUCUUCCAUUUUGAGAUGAUCCGCAAGCUUGUCGAUGAUGUUGACUUGUCUAUAUUCGGUGCAAUAUUUGAAUUCAACCCUCCUUCAAGUAAAGAAGCUUCUGCCCAGGAUGCCCCUAGAUUUAUCAUUGCCUUCAGAGGCACCAUAACUGAGAAGGAAACUAUUUCUAGAGAUCUUUCCCUUGACCUCCAGCUUGUUCAAAAUGGUCUCCAUAAGACCUCAAGAUUUGCAAUUGCGAUGCAAGCUGUUCAAAAUGUAGCCUCAGCUUUCCCUGGAUCCCCGAUUUGGCUAGCUGGUCAUUCACUGGGUGCAGGUACGGCCAUCCUUACUGGAAGAAACAUGGUUAAGAAGGGCGCUCUUUUGGAUAGUUUUCUCUUCAAUCCACCGUUUGUCGCUGCUCCGAUAGAGGGAAUCAGGGAUGAGAGGGUAAAGCAUGGUUUCCGCAUUGCAAGAAGUGUUAUUACCGCGGGACUAACUAUUGCACUGAAAGCAAAAACCGAGGGGAACAAUCAGAGGUCUGUUGCGGAAGAAUCAUUCAACAUUUUGUUAUCAUGGACGCCAUAUCUGUUUGUUAAUCCAGGAGACCAUGUAUGUUCAGAGUACAUUGGGUACUUCCAGCAUCGUAGGAACAUGGAGGAUCUCGGUGCUGGAUUUAUUGAGAAGCUUGCGACCCAAAACUCAAUCGGAGACCUGUUUUACAAGGCAUUAGGAUGGGAAUCAGAACCGCUGCACCUUCUUCCAUCUGCAGACUUAAUUGUAAACGUGAGCCCUUCACCGGACUUCAAAUAUGCCCAUGGCAUUAGCCAAUGGUGGCAACCGAAUCUGAACUUGCAAUGCAAUAAAUAUCGGUACUCUUAG